GGGGCGGUAGUUCAGUGGCCAGAAUUCCGGACUCCAAAUCCGGCGACGCGGGUUCGAGUCCCGCCCGCUCUGCCA
rnacentral:tRNA from 2 species